rnacentral:precursor_RNA from 12 species
CGGACGGUCUCUCUCGGCGCCUCGGCGGGGUGAGGUAGUAGGUUGUGUGGUUUCAGGGUAGUGAUUUUGCCCCAGUCAGAAGAUAACUAUACAACCUACUGCCUUCCCUGAGGGGCUGCCUCAGCCCGGCCCAGCCA